CUCAGAAGGUGGGGCCGACCCACAAAUAAGGGGUCAAGACAAACCAGGAAGAGAGAGAAGGGGCUGGAAGGAUCUGCGAACCAUAGAGAAAGAGACAAUAUAUUUCGACUGGAUUUACCGUGUAUGAGCUGGACUGUUUGGACUUACCUGUUGGCGUUUGGACCUGGACCUACCGAGAACCCGAUUCGUGUACCGAACCUUGCUAUCCUUGACCUCGCCUGCGGCCUGCGUGGACCAGGACGGAGAAACAAACACGCAGGUUAUGAGAAUCUACAGUCUGAAGCAAUAUCCCUUGAUCCAUGGACUGUACUUGAAAUGAUACAAGAUCACCGGUGAAGUGUUCAUUAGAAGUCCUUAUCAAUCAGUGGAACAGAAGAAUAAUUACUCACUACCGGCAGACUGUCAGAACAUAAUUUCUAAUAGUUAUCUAUGUGGGACUGAUACCAGUGUGUAAGAGCUGUUCACUUUUAAAGGACUUGGUGAAUGAUUACCUUGCCAAUAGGACAAUUGAAUAUUAUUGUCUUGUAGACAAUCAUUUUUUUUGUGUGAGUUUCCUACCUAAUACAAGAUGUGGUAGGAAUCGUAAGGGACAUCAUCAUUAAACCUGUUAAUACUUAUUUUCUAUAACUUUGUUUGAAAUCUAUUUCUUAUUGUAACAUCAAGUGUUUUAUAGAAAUGCAAGGUGUUUAAUGUGAAUGAUUCUAUGCUUACUGCCAACGUUUUAUAUACUGUCUAUUUUUACAUGUUUUUUUAUUGUUUUCUAAAAAUACAUUUUGAAGAAUAUUUAUUUUUAAAAUGGUCUAGGGGGAGUGUAAGAAUAUUUCCAAGAUAAAUACACAAAGCAGAGUACGAGAGGUCAAGAGGACAAAAAGUCAAUAGAGUACUAACGAUCAACAGAAAUAGUUGUUUUUCUGUAAUAUCAAUGGGUUAGAGACAAGGAAUUUUAAUUGUCAACCACAGGCUAGUGCUGGGUUAUAAAACUACAUCCUGUCCCUUUGUUCUGUAGAGAGCAUCACUGAGGAGAGAAUCACCAAGGACAGGGGAGCAUGAACAUCUACCAUCUACCGCCCCGCAUGAUUUGUUCAUUUUGAAUAAACCUAUUUUCCUCCCCCUGA